CAAAGCAAACAGGGAUAUCUAUGUUUGGCUCUCAUCAGCGGGCUUUGAAACAAAACGUGAACAGCUCUGUCUACAGAUGUAGUCUGGGUGGAUGAAGGAUACUCUUCAUUUCAAGUGAGGAAACUGAGGCAUCCAGAGCUCAUGGUGAAAUGGAGAGAGUUCUUCCUAGGGCAUGGAGAAGGGAGGAACCACAAGAUGGAAAUAGCCUGGGCCCUUGACUAACUGCAUGGAAAGAAGUCUGCAAGGCCGGGAACACCUGCACAGACUUUGACGCAUCCAAGCCAGACCAGAAACGUGAGCUGACUGAGUUCAUCACGCGGUGCGGCCCUGACUGGUGUCCUUUCUUGAGGCAUCAGUAAGAUCCAGACUGACCUCCCCCAACCCCACGGCCACAGAGCCUGCCCUUAUCCCUAGGCCUUGGCCUUCCAAGGUUGGGCUGUUGUAUGAUUUUGCUCAUGACAGUUCCCUUACCUCCUGGAAGAGU